UAGAUAGAGGUGCGGUUUGCAAAAGUAGCACGGGCACGGUACGGAAAUACCGCGUGCGAAAGGGUACACCGCCGAAAUCCGCUUGCCGUUUCCGGGGCUUGUGGGUUGGUACCUGGCAGAAGAUGUCCUGUACUGUCACGAAAGUGGAGCGCUAUCCG
rnacentral:ncRNA from 1 species